AUCAAAUGGAGCAAUAGUUGUAAUAGGACCAAAAUUGUUUUAAUAAAGAUUAAAAUGAAUAUUUAUAUGUGAUGAGACCUAAAAACCCUCAACCAAACCAUUAUUAAGUUGAGACACGUGAGAGAGAACACUCUUUCGUGGCCUUCUGAUAGGAGCAUAUUUAUACGCCUUAGUUAGCUAGUUCUUAUGCAUUUUAGUUAUGUUUUCUUAGUUUAAAGUAGUCUUUAAGUUAGUUUCAUGUGUUUUCAGGUUUUAAGAGCAUAUUACAUAAAAUGAUGCCAUUUGGAGCAUUUGAGAGCAAAAUUGAGCUGGAAUGGAGUGUAUGCUUAUGGAGCACAAGGAAUGGACGAGUUUGAAGGUUGAGGGAGCUUAAGAAAUGAAGAAAUGAAAGUAAAGAACAAAGAAGUCGGAAUUGGCAACUAAAGUUUCUAAAGUUGGAAGUUUCUAUUCUUGGAGGUUUCCAUUUUCGAGAGUUUCUAUUCUUGGCUUUGGGCUUUUGGAUGACCCAUCUUUGCCUCUUGGACCUAUGCCGCACCUAACCCUAACCCUAGCCCACUUAAUCAGCCGCACCUAGGCCUUGUUCACAUGAAAAAAAUCUGAUUACUUACCCUAAGCCCAUGCCGCACCUAAUGUUCUAGAAACCCUAGUUUUUGGUGGAUUUCUUAACCCUAGCCGCACCUAAACCCUAGCCCAUUUGUCUAACCUGAUUUCUUUAGGGUUUGGCUGCCUAUAUAUAUGUGUUUUACCUCCCUUGGCCGAAUACCACCCUCUCCAUAUUCAGAAAUUCGUCCAAAACCCUAUUUCCCACCUUGCCGCAGCCUUCCAUCCCCAAACUCCCAACUUUCUGCCCAAAUUCAACCUUGCCGCAACCUUCCAUUCAAAUAACCAUUCAUCCACCAUAGCCGCAGCUUCCCACCACCAUCACCACCUUGUGCAGCCACUAAAGGAGGAGAAAGAAGGAGUGCCGUGCAGUCCAAAGGAAGGAGAAGCCUUGCACAUGCAAUCUGCCAUUAGUGGAGUGUUUGGAGUUCUUUCUUUCUUUGUUUCUGUUUUCAUGUUUAAUUUAAAUUGCUUUUCAAUUAUGUUAAACAUGUGGAACUAAUUCCUUUUUAGUUAGAGGCGAAUUUGAAGCCAUGGACAUAUGUUUUAUAUGAUUUGAUUUCUUCCAAUUAUGAUUUCAUAAAUCGUGAAUGUGGUUUACUUAUCUAUUUGAUUGAUAACUUGUUUAUGUAUGUGGGUUGAGGGUCGACACUUAAUUUGCAUGCAUAAACUCGAUGCUAGGAUAUAAGGGAAUUUCACCUAAUCGUUAUUAACUUAUAUUCAUAAGUAGUGAAAGUCGCUAGUCACGAUUGUGUUAAGUAAAUCCUAGGCAAGAGUAACAUGCGUAUCCCAUAGUUAUGAAUGCC
rnacentral:lncRNA from 1 species